rnacentral:rRNA from 1 species
UUCGCGGAACAUUGACGACCCGUGCUGGCUAAAGGUCGUGUCGUCAGACUCGUGUCGUGAGAUGUGGGGUUAACGUCCCCGNUAACCGAGGCUUCAACCCUUGUUCNGUUAGUUACCAUGCGACGUUAUGGUGGUGCACUCUAGAGGAGACUGCCGGUAACAACACCGGAGUGAAGGUGGGGAUGACGUCGAGUCGAUCAUGGCCCUUACGGCCUGAGGCGUACACACGUGCUACGAAUGGUCGGUACAAAGGGUUGCCACAGCGCGCGAGGUGGACGCUAAGGGCCACAUACACAACCGAUCGUAAGUCCGGAUACGCAUCUGCAACUCGAGCUGCGUGAAUGUCGCGAAUCGCUAGUAAUCGCGAAUCAGAAUGUCGCGGU